AUUGCUGGCAGAAGCCAAAGACGAGCAAGGGAAUCCUGCCCUGGAGCCUUCGUGGGGGGGAGGGGGGGUGAUCCUGCUGCCACGUGGGCUUCAGAGGGCGGGGCGGGUUUGACACGUGGAGGAUCCUCGCAGCAGCAGCCGUAGCUCUCCGUCGUCGUGUCAUCACUCGGGGAUGCUGGCAUCGCCCCGGAGGGCAGGCUGGCUCAGGGGAUCCAAGCAGGGCUGAGGGGCUGAGGGGACAAUGGGGCAGCCACCAAGAGAGCCAGAGUGCACCUCCAGCUCCCCAGGCCUCAGAAGGGGGUAAGGUUAAGGGUUAAGGAUGGGUGUUGUUGGGGGAGAGCUGGGGGCGAAGUUAGGGCCAGUCCUAAGGUACAUUGAGGGGUGGGGCUCGGGGGCGAAUUCUUGAGUAGAGGAAGCCUUUGGGGGGUCUCCAAAAGUCAGCAGCCAGUUGCAGAACAGGUGAGCAGCCCUUUGAGAGGCACACUCCCUGAGAUCAGGCCUUACCUUCUCAGCUGGGGUUCACAGCAGGGGGUGUGCAGGUGGGACCAGCCGCGGGUGACCCAGGUUCCCCGGAGGGAUGUGCUGCCUCUGAAUUGAGAACAUCCGGAGACCCUGUGGAGCAAGGAUUUGACCUCACAGCUCCCUUCCUGCCCAGCCACCCACAAAGCAGGCUCUCCCUCCUGAAAAGGCUCCUUUCCAGAACAAAAGCCACCCAUUUUCUUUCCUCCUACCGGGUUUCCCUCCUCCCCGCGUUUGGGCUCUGGGAAGGCCCGUUCUCACAGAAAUGAGCAUUUUCCCAAGAGAGCCUGGAGCAGAAUAAAGAGGCAAAGCAAAGGGGAGAAGCAGGUCGUCGUUUGCACGGUCCUUUUGCUCAUUUCCACCUGAUAAAACCCACAGGGGAGGAAUCCCAGGAAGGCAGCACCGAGCAGCCUGCACCCCGGGGAGGCUGGUUUGGAUUUUCCAUCCAGUGGGUUGAUGAAGACAGGAGGAGAGUUGUGAACCCUGACAAAUCGGAAGAUGCUGUCCUGUCAAGGGGCUUCCAGAUGAUGGCGGAUCAUCCUCCUGCCUUGCUCAGCCCUUAUUUUACGCAGUCGCCAGGGUUCCAGGAGCAACUCCUCCAUGCUGCUUGCAUUCCAGAAUGAAGCUCUUUCUGAAGAAGGGGUGAGGCCCCCUUUCAAAGAGGUGAGCCACCCAGAGUGUCCUGGGGGGGGGGGACUUUGCUGAGCUGUGACAAGAGACAUUUAUUCUCCACCCAUCUGUUUAGUCACUGGGUAUCACCCAGAGGCUCUGAAAAUCUGCUGUGUUAGAAAGAAAGAAAGGAAAGAAAGAAAGAAAAAGAAAGAAAGAAGAAAGAAAGAAAAAAGAAGAAAGAAAGAAGAAAGAGAGAAAGAAAGAAAGAAAGAAAGAAAGAAAGAAAGAAAGAAAGAAAGAAAGAAAGAAAGAAAGAAAGAACUCCAGUUGCCUGCUGAAAAGGAAAUGCAGAAGGGGCCUGCAGAAGAGGCCCACGUUCUGCGUUCUGCGUCUGGCCCUGCCUCGAGAGGCUGAGCAAAGCAGGCCAUUCCUUCCCCUCUCAGAUGCCUCCCCUCAAAAGGAAGGAUAAUAAGAAGAGCUCCUUUUGAGAAUUCCCAUCAGCCAAUGUAGGGAAAGAUGCUACCGCACUGUUUUUCGUUCAGCAAACAUUUGCUGAGCCCCCACUGUGUGCCAGAGAAUGUUCUAGGUUGUGGGAGACGACAGCAGGGGCACAAGAUAGGCAAUAGCCCUGCCCUCAUGGAGCUGAUGUUCUAGAAGGUGGGAGAACUCAUCUCUUUUAGUCUCUCGGAGUCAUUUCUGAGUUCAUUGUGGAAGCUACACAGGGCUUUGUAUGGGGCUUGGGACAGAGCAGGUGGUCAAUACUUUUUUUUUCUUUUUUUAACCAAUGAAUGGUAAAUAGCCAAACACCAGGAGGAAGGGACCAGUGGUAG
rnacentral:lncRNA from 1 species